UUAGCCACCGCAAUUGUGAAGGUGGAAGAUAAUGUUAAAAAUACACAUUUCGCGCAUGUGGUCUUAGACAAUUGCUCUCAGUGUAACUUUAUUUCGGAGGCGUUAGCCUCAAAGCUUCGACUGAGCAGAGUGAAGACCAAUAUGGAAGUGGUCGGCAUUGGACCUGGAAAGAGCACCGUUUUCGGGUACGUCGUUUCGGGCAUGUAUACAGGAUCCGGAGGAAACCCGUCGUUGUGUAUCAUCAGCAAUAGUAGUGGAUUAGAUGCGAUUUUAGAACGGUUUUGGCAGAUAGACGACUUCGACCGCGAACGAGUAUUGUCACCGGAUGACAGAUGGUGUGAAGAACACUUCAAUCGCACGGUGGCGUGGCGUGACGAAGGUCGGUAUGUGGUGCUGUUGCCAAUAAUGAAGAUCGGAGAGAAUUCCUUGGUGACUCAUACCAGCUAGCACAACGUCGGUUUCUAGCAGCUGAGAGGCGAUUCGGGUACAAUCAACAGCUGCGCGACCAGUACUCACGAUUCAUGGAUGAAUACGCGAUGCUCGGACACAUGGAACCCGGUAUACGAACAGGAAAUGAGACGCGCCGUCCACGAUUUUUGGAAACGAUGGACACGGGAUUACGUUCAUCAUUUGCAUCAACGACCAAAAUGGCACAAAGAGGAGCGCACCUACCGCGUCGGCGAGUUAGUUUUGCUGAAACAGGAGAACAUGCCACCACUCCAAUGGAAUCUCGGAAGAAUUAUCGCCACGCAUCCAGGCAGCGAUGGUCGGUGCAG